ACUCCCGACAAUGGAUAUUUCGAUUCUCGAAUCGAUGAAGAACAUAGCACAAUGCGAUACUUGGUGUGAAUUGCAUAAUCCCGUGAACCAUUGAGUUUUAGAACAAAGUUGCGCCCAAAGCCACUAGGCUAAGGGCACAUCUACCCAGGUGUCAUGCACAAUGUCGCGUUCAACACAAGCAAUGAAUUUGUGUUGAGGAGCGGAAGUUGGCCCCCCAUGCUAUCUCAGCCUGGUCGGCCAAAAAAUGGCCUUGAGUGACGGACAUCAUGAUCUAUGGUGGUUUUGAACCCCUUUCGACCUAGACUAGCGUCAUCGUCAACCAUUCAAGUUGUACAAACCCUUGUGUGUUGCAUAUGACGCCCACUUUGCGACCCCAAGUCGGGCGGGACUACUCGCCGAGUUUAAGCAUAUCAAUAAGCAGAGGAAAAGAAACUUACAACGAUUACCAUAUUGAUGGUGAGUGAAUCAGGAUCAACCCAACUUGAGAAUCAGGUGACUUCAUUAUCCAAAUUAUAACUUGUAGAAGCGUCAUCAUCGAGGGAUUGGUCCCAUAACCCCUAUGGAGGUGCCAGAGAGGGUGAAAGCCCCGACGUGUUCGGACACUGUCGCACCAUUCGGCGUUGUCGGCAAGUCUGGUUGUUUGGGAAUGCAACCCUAAUUUUAUCCAAGGCUAAAUAAUGGUGAAACCCGAUAGCGAACAAGUACUGCAAGGGAAAGAUGAAAAAGACUUUGAAAGUGAGUCAAAGAGUGCUUGAAAUUAUUGGGAGGGAAGCGGAUGGAGGUUGGCAAUGAAAAAGACUCUAGAUGUCAACCGAUGCAGAUUAUGAUGGUGGCUCAAGCCCGAGUCGUUUACAUGCUUGUGGAUACGUCAUCGUCGUGAUUGUGGUGGGUAGUGCGCGCCUUCAGCGUACCUAUGAAAAUUGCACGCUCCCGGCGUCUGCCUGUUGGCUCCUUAUUUGGCCCAUCUUGAAACACAGACCAAGAAGUCAUGUGUACGAGUCAAUGGGUGGAUAAACCCAUAAGGUGCAAGGAAGUUGAUUAGUGGGAUCCCCUUGUGGGUUACACCGCCAGCCGACCUAAACCUUUCGGGAAGGGUUCAAGUGUGUGCAUACUUGCCAGGACCCAAAAGAUGGUGAACUAUGCCUGAGCGGGGCAAAGCCAGUGGAAACUCUGGUGGAGGCUCACAACGAUAUAGACGUGCAAAUCAUUCGUCUGACUUGGGUAUAGGGGUGAAAGACUAAUCGAACCAUCUAAUAGUCGGUUCCCUCCAAAGUUUCCUUCAAGAUAGCUGAAGAUCGAGCACAAAUUCUAUCGGAAAAAAACCAAUUAUUAUAGGCAUCGGGGGUGCAACACCCUCGACCCAUUUUCAAACUUUAAAAUAGGUAGGAUGGUACAUGCAGUUGCUUUGUUGAGCGGUAGCAUGGAAUCGAGAGCUCCAACUGAGCCAUUUUUUGUAUGCAGAACUGGCGAUGCAGGUUGAAUCGUAAGCAGUGCCCAGCUACACGCUAACCUAAAACUGACAAAUGGUGUUGGUCGAUUAAAACAAACGGACAGUGGUUAUGGAAGUCGAAAUUCGCUAAAGAGUCUAUAACAACUCACCUGUCGAAUCAACUAGCCCCGAAAAUGGAUCGUACUUAAGCGUGUGACCCACACUUGGUCAUUGGGGCAAAUGUCAUACCCUAAUGAGUAGGAAGGCAUAGCGGUAGCUAAAAAACUUGGGGCAUGAGCCCUGGUGGAGCUCCGGAGUAGUAGCAAAUAUUCAAAUGAGAACUCUGAAGGCCUAAUAUUGGAGAAGUUCCAUGUGAACGACACUUGCACAUGGGUUAAGCGAUCCUAAGAUUCGGGGCAACCUUGUCAAAAACGCGAACUACGCGAACUCGAAAUGGAAUCGAGAUGCGGAGGUUGACGACAACGUUAGGGAAGUUUGGAGACACGGCAGUUGCUUUUGAAGAGUUAUUUUUAAUGUUUAACAACUUGCCUACCAUGGAAACAACUUAGCCAAAUAUUGGGUUCAGUAGCUGGAAGAGCACCGCAUGUCGCAUGGUGUCCAGUGGACCCCCAACGGCCCUUGAAAAUCCAAAGAACCAAGUGCUGACAACGCCCGGUCGUACUCAUAACCACAUUAGAUCUCUAAGGUGAACAACUUAUUGUCGAUUGAGCAAUGUAGGCAACAAAAGUCAGCAAAAUAUACCCAUAACCUCGGGAAAAGGAUUCCCUCUGAAGACCGGGCUCAAGAGUCUUUGUCUCGAACCCGCUGGUUCUCGGUGGAUUGCUCAAGAUACUUUCGACAUGCCGAUUGGGGCAUGGACUGGGAAUGGUCCCUCUAGGGGCUUUCCCGGACGUUAAACAGUCGACUCAGAAUUGGUAGGAAUAAGGGGAAGUCGAUUGUUCAAUUAAAAGAAAUCAUUGCGAUGGUCCUUACGGAUGCUAACACAAUGUGAUUUCUGCUCAAUGCUCUGAAUGUUAAAGUGAAGAAUUUCAACCAAGUGUCGGUAAGCAGCGGGAGUAACUAUUACUCUUUUAAGGUGGCCAAAUGACUCGUCAUCUAAUUAGUAAUGCGCAUAAAUGGAUUAACGAGAUUCCCACUGUUCAAGUCUGCUAUCCAAUGAAACCACAGCCAAGAGAACGGGCUUGGCAAAAUCAACAAAGAAAGGAGAAACCCUGUUGAGCUUAACCCUAGUCUGACUUUGUGAAAUGACUUGAGAGGUAUAGGAUUAGUGGGAGGUACUUUCGUCGAAAGUAAAAUACUACUAUUUUUAUCAUUAUUUUACUUAUUCCAUGAGUUGGAAGCGGAGCCCUGCUCCUCUUUUUGGAUCCAACGGUCAUCUUGACUGCCUGAUCCGAGCGGAAGACAUUGUUAGGUGAGGAGUUUUGCUGGGGUGGCACGUUUGUUAAAAGAUAAUGCAGGUGUCUUAAGAUGAGCUCAACGAGAACAUAAAUCUCAUGUGGAACAAAAGAGUAAAAGCUCAUUUGAUUCUUAUUUCAGUACGAAUAUGAACUGUGAAAGCAUGGUGAUCGUUUAGACCUUCAAAAUUUGAAGCUAGAGGUGUUAGAAAAUUUACCAUAGGGAAAAUUGGCUUGUGGCAGCCAAGUGUUCGUAGUGAUGUUGCUUUUUCUAUCCUUCAAUGUUGGCUCUUCCUAUCAUUGUGAUGGCUCUUCCAAUUAUUGUGAAGCAGAAUUCACCAAGUGUUGGAUUGUUCACCCACCAAUAGAAAACGUGAGUUGGGUUUAGACCAUCGUGAGACAGGUUAAAUUUACCCUACUGAUGAUAGUGUCGUGAUAGUAAUUCAACCUAAUACGAGAGGAACUGUUGAUUCACACAAUUGGUCAUCGCACUUGGUUGAAAAGCCAGUGCCCUGAAGCUACCGUGUGCAGGAUUAUGAUUGAACGCCUCUAAGUUAGAAUCUAGGUUAGAGAGUCGGCGCAUAAGCCCGUCGCCCGAUUACUGACCUGCAGUAAGGACCUUUUGGUCCCUAAAGUCACAUGCCAUUUGU
rnacentral:rRNA from 1 species